rnacentral:rRNA from 1 species
AGUGAACGCUGGCGGUAGGCCUAACACAUGCAAGUCAAACGGCAGCACAGUAAGAGCUUGCUCUUACGGGUGGCGAGUGGCGGACGGGUGAGGAAUACAUCGGAAUCUACUUUUUCGUGGGGGAUAACGUAGGGAAACUUACGCUAAUACCGCAUACGACCUACGGGUGAAAGCAGGGGAUCUUCGGACCUUGCGCGAUUGAAUGAGCCGAUGUCGGAUUAGCUAGUUGGCGGGGUAAAGGCCCACCAAGGCGACGAUCCGUAGCUGGUCUGAGAGGAUGAUCAGCCACACUGGAACUGAGACACGGUCCAGACUCCUACGGGAGGCAGCAGUGGGGAAUAUUGGACAAUGGGCGCAAGCCUGAUCCAGCCAUACCGCGUGGGUGAAGAAGGCCUUCGGGUUGUAAAGCCCUUUUGUUGGGAAAGAAAAGCAGCAAGUUAAUACCCCGCUGUUCUGACGGUACCCAAAGAAUAAGCACCGGCUAACUUCGUG